AUUGAACGCUGGCGGCAGGCUUAACACAUGCAAGUCGAACGAGUGGAGGACGGGUGGGUAAUGCUUGGAAAUCUAGCUUAUGGAGGGGUAAAACUACGGGAAACCGUGGAUACUACCGCGUACACCAGGCUGUGCCCAAGUGGGAUGAGGUAGUUGGGGGGGUAAAGGCUCACCAAGCCGACAAUCUCUAGCGGGUCUGAGAGGAUGAACAGCCACACGGGGACUGGUACACGGCCCAGACUCCUACGGGAGGCAGCAGUGGGGAAUAUGGCGCAAUGGGGGCAACCUGAUGCAGCCAUGCCGCGUGAAUGAAGAAGGCCUUCGGGUUGUAAAGUUCUUUCAGUAGCGAGGCGUUAACUACAGAAGAAGCACCGGCUAACUCCGUGCCAGCCGCCGCGGUAAUUC
rnacentral:rRNA from 1 species